rnacentral:rRNA from 1 species
GAUGAACGCUGGCGACGUGCCUAAUACAUGCAAGUCGUGCGAAUGGAUUAAGAGCUUGCUCUUAUGAAGUUAGCGGCGGACGGGUGAGUAACACGUUGGUAACCUGCCCAUAAGACUGGGAUAACUCCGAGAAACCGGGGCUAAUACCGGAUAGCAUUUUGAAGCGCAUGGAUUGAAAUUGUAAGGCGGCUUCGGCUGGCACUAAUGGAUGGGCCCGAGUCGAAUUAGCUAGUUGGUGAGGUAACGGCUCACCAAGGCAACGAUGCGUAGCCGACCUGAGAGGGUGAUCGGCCACACUGGGACUGAGACGCGGCCCAGACUCCUACGGGAGGCAGCAGUAGGGAAUCUUCCGCAAUGGACGAAAGUCUGACGGAGCAACGCCGCGUGAGUGAUGAAGGCUUUCGGGUCGUAAAACUCUGUUGUUAGGGAAGAACAAGUGCUAGUUGAAUAAGCUGGCACCUUGACGGUACCUAACCAGAAAGCCACGGCUAACUACGUGCCAGCAGCCGCGGUAA